rnacentral:rRNA from 1 species
UAAAAAAACNAUGCCCUUCGGGGCUCCUUGGUGAUUCAUGAUAACUUCUCGAAUCGCAUGGCCUUGUGCCGGCGAUGGUUCAUUCAAAUUUCUUCCCUAUCAACUUUCGAUGUUUGGGUAUUGGCCAAACAUGGUUGCAACGGGUAACGGAGGGUUAGGGCUCGACCCCGGAGAAGGAGCCUGAGAAACGGCUACUACAUCCAAGGAAGGCAGCAGGCGCGCAAAUUACCCAAUCCCGACACGGGGAGGUAGUGACAAUAAAUACUGAUACAGGGCUCUUUUGGGUCUUGUAAUUGGAAUGAGUACAAUUUAAAUCCCUUAACGAGGAACAAUUGGAGGGCAAGUCUGGUGCCAGCAGCCGCGGUAAUUCCAGCUCCAAUAGCGUAUAUUAAAGUUGUUGUGGUUAAAAAGCUCGUAGUUGAACCUUGGGCCUGGCUGGCCGGUCCGCCUCACCGCGUGUACUGGUCCGGCCGGGCCUUUCCCUCUGUGGAACCCCAUGCCCUUCACUGGGUGUGGCGGGGAAACAGGACUUUUACUUUGAAAAAAUUAGAGUGCUCCAGGCAGGCCUAUGCUCGAAUACAUUAGCAUGGAAUAAUAGAAUAGGACGUGUGGUUCUAUUUUGUUGGUUUCUAGGACCGCCGUAAUGAUUAAUAGGGACAGUCGGGGGCAUCAGUAUUCAAUUGUCAGAGGUGAAAUUCUUGGAUUUAUUGAAGACUAACUACUGCGAAAGCAUUUGCCAAGGAUGUUUUCAUUAAUCAGGAACGAAAGUUANGG